GACUAUAUGGUGUAAUGGAUAACAUCCUUACUUGUCGGCUGCCUUCAUCUGCAAGAGCACAAUCGAUUCGUAAGAGCCCUAGGUUCGAUUCCUAGUAUGGUCG